rnacentral:misc_RNA from 1 species
GUGCACUUUAAUUGUGGCUCAAACUUUACACUGUUCACCCCCAAAACUUGUUUGUGGGGCAUUUAUGCCAUUGCACUCAGGUAUAGCGUGAACAUUUAUUUGUUACAUUAUCCCCUCCCAAUUUUUUUUUUAUAAACACAAGUUGAAUCUAAGAAUGUAAACCCUUUUAUUUGAAAAA